UGGGGAAUAUUGCACAAUGGGCGCAAGCCUGAUGCAGCCAUGCCGCGUGUGUGAAGAAGGCCUUCGGGUUGUAAAGCACUUUCAGCGAGGAGGAAGGGUAGUGUGUUAAUAGCACAUUGCAUUGACGUUACUCGCAGAAGAAGCACCGGCUAACUCCGCGCCAGCAGCCGCGGUAAUAAGGAGGGUGCAAGCGUUAAUCGGAAUUACUGGGCGUAAAGCGCACGCAGGCGGUUUGUUAAGUCAGAUGUGAAAUCCCCGCGCUUAACGUGGGAACUGCAUUUGAAACUGGCAAGCUAGAGUCUUGUAGAGGGGGGUAGAAUUCCAGGUGUAGCGGUGAAAUGCGUAGAGAUCUGGAGGAAUACCGGUGGCGAAGGCGGCCCCCUGGACAAAGACUGACGCUCAGGUGCGAAAGCGUGGGGAGCAAACA
rnacentral:rRNA from 1 species